UGGGGAAUAUUGCACAAUGGAGGGAACUCUGAUGCAGCGACGCCGCGUGAGUGAUGAAGGAAUUCGUUUCGUAAAACUCUGUUCUAUGGGAAGAAAAGGACUGUACCAUAGGAGAAAGCUCCGGCGAAAUACGUGCCAGCAGCCGCGGUAAUACGUAUGGAGCGAGCGUUGUCCGGGAUUAUUGGGCGUAAAGGGUGCGCAGGCGGCUUUACAAGUUGGAUGUGAAAUAUUGUGGCUCAACCACAAACGUGCAUCCAAAACUGCAAAGCUUGAGUUAAGGAGAGGGAAGUGGAAUUCCUGGUGUAGCGGUGGAAUGCGUAGAUAUCAGGAGGAAUACCGGUGGCGAAGGCGACUUACUGGACUUAGACUGACGCGCAGGCACGAAAGCGUGGGGAGCAAACAGG
rnacentral:rRNA from 1 species